UACAGAGGUGGCAAGCGUUGUUCGGAAUUACUGGGCGUAAAGGGCGCGUAGGCGGCCUGUUAAGUCGAACGUGAAAUCCCCGGGCUCAACCCGGGAACUGCGUCCGAUACUGGCAGGCUUGAAUCCGGGAGAGGGAUGCGGAAUUCCAGGUGUAGCGGUGAAAUGCGUAGAUAUCUGGAGGAACACCGGUGGCGAAGGCGGCAUCCUGGACCGGCAUUGACGCUGAGGCGCGAAAGCCAGGGGGAGCAAAACGGGG
rnacentral:rRNA from 1 species